rnacentral:lncRNA from 1 species
AUGUGCAGCCCAGAGGCUGUCCCAUCACCUCACCCACCACUGUCCUUCAGUCACUCCCUGAACACUUAUGAGACAACCUUCUGGAAACGUGGUAUUUGGCAGUGUCUUUCCCAGAUAAAGGGACUUCUUGGAAUUGUCUCUGGAGAUGGUGAAUCAACCCUUCAUGGCAUCUGCAUAGUAUGUGCUAGUUCCAUCACUACUAAUUCAUGAGACCCACUCUAGCCCCUUCCCUGAAGCCUGGUGGACCGAGUCCAUGUAGCAGCUACUGAAACUGAACCCAGAGGCACCACAGGAGAGUCUCAGGGACACCCAAGGCUUUACCAAGCCUCCAGAAAUCUCCACCAGCUGCACCUCACACCGGACACCUGGAAACACAGAGAUACAGUGAUCAGAAGCUGACACCCAUAUCUACUGUUUCUCUCACUCAUAUACAUCCACAAUAAAUAUCUUCAGAUCUCCAGGAAUCAUCUUUUAAAAUAGCAACAAGAAAACCCCAGCUCCGCCCAAAUUCUAAGGUGAGUCAUUUGUGUUCAGUCCUCAACACCAAAUAGAAACACAUAUGAAUACUGGGACUGUCUGUUCUCUCCCAGAGCCACAGGGUCACCAUAUAGCAAGCUCUGGGAUGGGAUGCCUGAGGAGAGGACAGGUCCCAGAGAAGACCCUAGAUGAGAUGAGCAGGAAUACUAUCCUUCAGGAUAACAUAAUGUUAUAUUAUGUAAUUAUGCAUGAAUUAACACUUAGAAGUCACUAUCUUAUUUAAUUUUACUUAUCUGCCCGAUAUACAUUUAAUAUAGUUUUUAAUGGUACAUUUUACAGAAAAAAAAUACUUACAGAACACAGCAUUUGUGCAAUGCAUCCAAGACCUCAUAUCAGCUUAGAGUUAUCCCCAUUAUCUGCUCCUGUGAUUGUCACCACUGAGGAGUGUGUUACCCUGAAGCAACUCCAGGGCAGGGUGAGACAUACCUUCUGAGGUCUGCCAAAGCACACAACUCUUAUGACACCUGUGUGUGAUUUUGCUGUAUUUGGUGUUCACCUAAAAUAUAUAGAAAUAAUCAGAGUUCAUGCAUGCGAAUUUUGAGGAGUUGGCAAUGAUUCAAGUGUCGUUAUUCAUUUUCAUUGCUCAUUCUCAGCCAAUAUAUUCACUUGUUUUUUUAUUACUGAUUUAUUUUAGUAUAAUUAAUAAUAUUAAAUCCAAAUUUGUACUAUACAAUUUGGAAAUGUUGAACUAGGUAUUCAAUGUUUUAAUCAGGACAUUAAGCAAAGUGUGACCAAUUCAAUUAACCCCUUAAAAUUUAUCUCAGUUUUCUGUAAUUUUAUCUCAUCAUUCUAUUACUCUUGCCAUCCCAUUCUCAAACAAAUUCAAAUUUUCUCCCUGUUAUUUCAGAAUAGUUGCAUUACCUGUAGUCUAUACAAAUGGAAUUGUAUGAUAUGUAUUAUAAUUCUUUAACAUCUUUUAUUAGCACACUUACUGAGAAUAUAGUCAAGUUAUUCUGUGACUCAGACAUGCCUUGACUGUAAGGCCGAGUCGUAUUCCACUACAUCAAUAUAUCUGACACUGUUUAAUUAUUCACCUAUAAUAGAUAUUUUAUUUGUCCUCUCAGUUGCUAUCUUUUAUAUAGGAAGCAACUACUCAGUAAGGAAAAGUAAAAAAGUGAGAAAAAUACAACCAUAUUCUACCUCAUUGAUGAUAAGCUUGAACAACUACUAAUAAAGGAAAUAAAACAUCUACACAUCAGAGUUCAUGUCACAGGGCAAGUGAAAAAACUGCAGUCUAAGGUGACAGGCGCCUGAAGGGAGAACCAGGACCCACAUAUUAUUGCACCUAGGUCUGUUCCCACUGGAUGGCAUUUCUGGUAGAAAAAGACUAACCUGGG